UAUACUGAGUUUCAAUAUUUAAUGUAUUAAUGUGCUGCAAAUGUAUGGUUGCAAAUAUAAGCAUUUUUUAAAAAGCUUUUUAAGCUUUGAAAAUGGGAGGGGAAGGAGAUCUGGGUCCGAGUGCAAAAGAUUCUGAACCAACCCCCUACUGAUGCUUCUGGUGGCAACAAGUUCAGGGGAUAUCUCUAUGGGUCCAUGGUUCUGUGUCACUUUACUUUUGGAAAUGUUGGUUGCAACAUGCUACUUCUGCGCUUUAAAGGAGUGGAAUGCAGAUGCCCCCUGCGACUUGCUACACACUUGUUCCAACCUGUUCUUUGUUAAGCUUGUUGGUUGUUCUUGUGUAGGCAAGUCAAAGUAUCUGGCCAGCCAGAGGUGGAGGGAGGUUCAAGGUGCCAGUCUCUCUUGAGGUCCACCCACACCACCCACCUGUCCCUUGACCCAAACACUCACUCUGCCUACAUUUGUACUACUGUAUUUAUUUACAAGGCUUGCAAUCGUUUGCACUAUUCAUUUCCAAGUUAUUUACUAUUUGUUCACAAUAUUUUGUACUGUAGUUGGGAUCUGUCUAUCUCGAGACAAUGGAGUGUGCCUCCUGGGGUGAAGUCAAACCAUUGUGUUAAGAGCACUGAAGUGACCUCCCCGGGGUACAAGCCUGGGUGCAGUGUGUGUGGAAGUCCUGGGCUGCCCACAUGACAAGAGCCCCAUCUCAGCCUUGCUGAUGUCGUCCAAAGGAAAGCAGAGCAAUACAUUUGACACUGGCUUGGCUGCAGGAAUUGCCGGAAGGAGGCGUACAAGGUGCCAUCCAGUCACCUUAGGGACUCCACUUCAGAUUUGUGUAGGGUUUUCUCCUUGGUUUGUACUAUUUAUUCACUGUUUGUAUGCUCAUCAUUUGCUAUUUAUUUGCAAUCGUUUGUGCUCUUUAUUUCCUGUUUGUUUGCGCAAGGGAAGUCUCCUUGUCCAUGGUGUGAGCCAGGGCCAAGCAGGGAUUUUGCUGCCCUCCCAACUCACAGCUGCUUUGUGGAAAGUGUGUCUGAAUUGCAAAUAACUGAAUGGCGAGAAGGGGGGGGAGAGCAGUUUCUGCUAUGCCCGAGCCCUUCCUCCUUGGGCCAGGGACAUUCCCUUCAGGGGUUCCCCAGUUCUUCCUUGGGCUUCUUCCAUCCUGAUCUGUAAAAGCAGCCACCAUCUCUGCUUCCUGCCUCUUUGCUGGAGGGGCUGGUUGUGAGGCAAACUCUGCAAUAGCUGCUGGGGCAAGGGGCUGGGGGGCUGGGGAGAAAGCCGAAAUCAGCAGUUUUAUUUUUAAACCAAAGCACCUGUCAAAGCCAUGUGACAAAUUGACUGGCCUUUCUCUCUCCCCCUGCCCACCCUCGAGGCUUCAGUAAUUGAAUCAUAAACUUGGUGAAGUUCGUAAUGUCACUGUUUCAAAUGAAGAUUUUUUUUAAAAAAAAGUUGGUUCAUUUAAAUCUCAAAUGUGGGCUUCCUUUUGUUUUCGUUUUGUGGGUGCUUAGCUAUAAUUGAGAUCUUUUCCUGAGCCUGCCCACCCCCCUCCGGCCUCCAAGGCUGAACACUGUUGGGCAAACAACGAAUCCCUGAAGUCUGUUAAGAAAGAAAACAGAGAACUUUGCAAUUUAAGCUUUGCACACCUAUUUCCAAGUUAAUUGUUUUCCAAUCUGAUGUAUAGCAGCUACAUUUUCUCUGCCUUUUGAUUAAUAGCUUUGCUAAUUAUGUGGCAAGGAGAGAUGGCUGGAUAGAUUUUAGACUUCUCUUGAUAACGUCCAAAGGGUUAGCCAUGCUAGUGUCUUGCAGCAAAAAGAUCAAAGGAUCUUGCGGCACUUGAAAUGACAUGGGGAUUUAUGAAGGCAUAAACUUUUGUGGGCAGCAGUCUCCUUCAUCAGAUGCAUGGAGUGUUACCUGAGUUUUGUGUGUGUGUGUGUGUGUGUGUGUGCGCGCGCGCACCAGGAGGAAUUGUAAAAAGUGAGGCCAGAGGAAGAUUGACUGCCCAGGCUGCUCUGCCAUGGACCUUUAAGUGGCCGUCUUAGGCUGAAGGAGCCAAUCUGUGGUGCCAAUCUGCUGAAUUAAAAGUCUGCGUCAAUAGAUUCAAUGAUAAAACUUGUAGGCUGAGCUGGGAGAAGGGUGUUUUAGCACACAGAACCAUGCAAUUGUAGAGUUGGAAGGGACCCUGAGAGUCAUCUAGUUCAACUCCCUGCAAUGCAGGAAUCUCAGCUAAAGCAUCCGUGACAGAUGGCCAUCCAACCUCUGCUUAAAAACCUCCAAGGAAGGAGAGCCCACAACGUCCCGAGGGAGAUCAUUCUACUGUCAAACAGCUCUUACUGUCAAAAAGUUAUUCCUGAUGUUUAGUUGGAAUCUCCUUUCUUGUAACUUGGAAGUCAUUGGCUUGAGUCCUACCCUCCAGAGCAAGAGCAAACAAGCUUGUUCUCUCUUCCAUGUGACAGCCCUUGAGAUAUUUAAAGAUGGCUAUCAUAUCCCCUCUCAGUCUCCUCUUUUCCGGGCUAGGCAUACCCAGCUCCUUCAACUGCUCCUCAUAAGGCUUGGUUUCCCUUCUUGUGGUUUCUAGCAACUGGUAUUCAAGAAGCAUUACUGCCUCUUUCUGUCCCUGUUCAACAUUUGCAAGUUGCAUGUUAGUUUAGAGCAGGGGUAACCAACCUAAGGUCCAUGGGCCGGAAGUGGCCUGUGGAGGUUUCUUUGAGUGGCCCACGAGCUCCCCCCAAACUGAGAUGCCCGCCCGUGCGCUGCGCUAAACCAGCGCAACGCGGGGACUCGCUUCCGUGGUGCCAGAAAUUGUGUCUGUGCAUGUGCAGAAGCUGAAAAAUGCAGCUGUGCAUGUGGUCUCUUGUGCGAUCUGGCCCACGGAGGGAUCUCCGUGGGACGGAUGCAGCCCAGGCAAGAUAUAUAUAUAUUUGAAAUGAUAUUUAUUAAGAAUUUUAAAGUUACAG
rnacentral:lncRNA from 1 species